AAAUUGAAGAGUUUGAUCAUGGCUCAGAUUGAACGCUGGCGGCAGGCCUAACACAUGCAAGUCGAGCGGUAGCACAGAGAGCUUGCUCUCGGGUGACGAGCGGCGGACGGGUGAGUAAUGUCUGGGAAACUGCCUGAUGGAGGGGGAUAACUACUGGAAACGGUAGCUAAUACCGCAUAAUGUCGCAAGACCAAAGUGGGGGACCUUCGGGCCUCAUGCCAUCAGAUGUGCCCAGAUGGGAUUAGCUAGUAGGUGGGGUAACGGCUCACCUAGGCGACGAUCCCUAGCUGGUCUGAGAGGAUGACCAGCCACACUGGAACUGAGACACGGUCCAGACUCCUACGGGAGGCAGCAGUGGGGAAUAUUGCACAAUGGGCGCAAGCCUGAUGCAGCCAUGCCGCGUGUAUGAAGAAGGCCUUCGGGUUGUAAAGUACUUUCAGCGGGGAGGAAGGCGAUAAGGUUAAUAACCUUGUCGAUUGACGUUACCCGCAGAAGAAGCACCGGCUAACUCCGUGCCAGCAGCCGCGGUAAUACGGAGGGUGCAAGCGUUAAUCGGAAUUACUGGGCGUAAAGCGCACGCAGGCGGUCUGUCAAGUCGGAUGUGAAAUCCCCGGGCUCAACCUGGGAACUGCAUUCGAAACUGGCAGGCUAGAGUCUUGUAGAGGGGGGUAGAAUUCCAGGUGUAGCGGUGAAAUGCGUAGAGAUCUGGAGGAAUACCGGUGGCGAAGGCGGCCCCCUGGACAAAGACUGACGCUCAGGUGCGAAAGCGUGGGGAGCAAACAGGAUUAGAUACCCUGGUAGUCCACGCCGUAAACGAUGUCGAUUUGGAGGUUGUGCCCUUGAGGCGUGGCUUCCGGAGCUAACGCGUUAAAUCGACCGCCUGGGGAGUACGGCCGCAAGGUUAAAACUCAAAUGAAUUGACGGGGGCCCGCACAAGCGGUGGAGCAUGUGGUUUAAUUCGAUGCAACGCGAAGAACCUUACCUGGUCUUGACAUCCACAGAACUUAGCAGAGAUGCUUUGGUGCCUUCGGGAACUGUGAGACAGGUGCUGCAUGGCUGUCGUCAGCUCGUGUUGUGAAAUGUUGGGUUAAGUCCCGCAACGAGCGCAACCCUUAUCCUUUGUUGCCAGCGGUUAGGCCGGGAACUCAAAGGAGACUGCCAGUGAUAAACUGGAGGAAGGUGGGGAUGACGUCAAGUCAUCAUGGCCCUUACGACCAGGGCUACACACGUGCUACAAUGGCGCAUACAAAGAGAAGCGACCUCGCGAGAGCAAGCGGACCUCAUAAAGUGCGUCGUAGUCCGGAUUGGAGUCUGCAACUCGACUCCAUGAAGUCGGAAUCGCUAGUAAUCGUAGAUCAGAAUGCUACGGUGAAUACGUUCCCGGGCCUUGUACACACCGCCCGUCACACCAUGGGAGUGGGUUGCAAAAGAAGUAGGUAGCUUAACCUUCGGGAGGGCGCUUACCACUUUGUGAUUCAUGACUGGGGUGAAGUCGUAACAAGGUAACCGUAGGGGAACCUGCGGUUGGAUCACCUCCUUACCUUAAAGAA
rnacentral:rRNA from 1 species